rnacentral:rRNA from 1 species
UACAGAGGUCUCAAGCGUUGUUCGGAAUUACUGGGUGUAAAGGGUUCGUAGGCGGUGUGGCAAGUCGGGAGUGAAAUCUCUGGGCUCAACCCAGAGACUGCUUCCGAAACUGCUGUGCUUGAGUGUGAGAGAGGCUCGUGGAAUUGCAGGUGUAGCGGUGAAAUGCGUAGAUAUCUGCAGGAACACCCGUGGCGAAAGCGGCGAGCUGGAUCACUACUGACGCUGAGGAACGAAAGCUAGGGGAGCAAACAGG